rnacentral:rRNA from 1 species
AUUGAACGCUGGCGGCAGGCCUAACACAUGCAAGUCGAGCGGCAGCGGGAAAGUAGCUUGCUACUUUUGCCGGCGAGCGGCGGACGGGUGAGUAAUGCCUGGGGAUCUGCCCAGUCGAGGGGGAUAACAGUUGGAAACGACUGCUAAUACCGCAUACGCCCUACGGGGGAAAGGAGGGGACCUUCGGGCCUUUCGCGAUUGGAUGAACCCAGGUGGGAUUAGCUAGUUGGUGGGGUAAUGGCUCACCAAGGCGACGAUCCCUAGCUGGUCUGAGAGGAUGAUCAGCCACACUGGAACUGAGACACGGUCCAGACUCCUACGGGAGGCAGCAGUGGGGAAUAUUGCACAAUGGGGGAAACCCUGAUGCAGCCAUGCCGCGUGUGUGAAGAAGGCCUUCGGGUUGUAAAGCACUUUCAGCGAGGAGGAAAGGUUGGCGCCUAAUAC